GCUUUCGUGGCUUAGUCGGGAAAACACCCGAUUAUGGUGCGUUAGGAUUUAGGUUCGAGCCCCAGUGAAGGCU